UACGGGGGGGCGAAGCGUUGUUCGGAAUUACUGGGCGUAAAGGGCGCGUAGGCGGCCCGCUAAGUCGAACGUGGAAAUCCCCGAGCUCAACUCGGGAACUGCGUCCGAUACUGGCGGGCUUGAAUCCGGGAGAGGGAUGCGGAAUUCCGAGGUGUAGCGGUGAAAUGACGUAGAUAUCUGGAGGAACACCGGUGGCGAAGGCGGCAUCCUGGACCGGCAUUGACGCUGAGGCGCGAAAGCUAGGGGAGCAAACGGG
rnacentral:rRNA from 1 species